rnacentral:rRNA from 1 species
UGGGGAAUAUUGCACAAUGGGGGAAACCCUGAUGCAGCGACGCCGCGUGAAGGAAGAAGUAUUUCGGUAUGUAAACUUCUAUCAGCAGGGAAGAAGAUGACGGUACCUGACUAAGAAGCCCCGGCUAACUACGUGCCAGCAGCCGCGGUAAUACGUAGGGGGCAAGCGUUAUCCGGAUUUACUGGGUGUAAAGGGAGUGUAGGCGGCGAUGCAAGUCAGAUGUGAAAGGCGUGGGCUCAACCCGCGGACUGCAUUUGAAACUGUAUUGCUAGAGUGUCGGAGAGGUAAGUGGAAUUCCUAGUGUAGCGGUGAAAUGCGUAGAUAUUAGGAGGAACACCAGUGGCGAAGGCGGCUUACUGGACGAUAACUGACGCUGAGGCUCGAAAGCGUGGGGAGCAAACA